ensembl:lncRNA
GUGAUGGUCUCCAUGGUAACCAAUGAACCAAUCUAUUGUCAAUAAGUCAAUUCUCCCUACAACCUAUCAUCUCCCUGUCUACUCUCUCACCCCCGACCCUGGUCCAGCACAAAGACUGCUGCUGCCUUGUCUUGUCUGCCAUCUAAUGUCCAUAAUAGAGUGAGCGUCUCAUGUUCUAGGACCCAUUUGCUUCAGAUGUGCUGUGCUGUGCUUAGUCCCUCAGUUGUGUCCGUCUCUUUGCAACCCCAUGGACUAUAGCCCACCAGAUUCCUCUGACCAAGGAGAUUCUCCAGGCAAGAAUAUUGGACUGGGUUGCCAUGCCCUCCUCCAGGGGACCUUCCCCACCCAGGAAUCAAACCUAGAUCUCCCGUAUUGCAAGCGGAUUCUUUACCAUCUGAGCCACCAAGGAAGCCCAGAUCUCUUGUCUAUUAAACCAUUCGCUAACUCUGGGUUCUUCAGCCUUUUGACGCUAAACAUGUACAGAACUUGCAGGCCCAUGGGAUGCAGCCCAACAAUUCCCCCACCCCUAAAUUCAUAUGCUGAAGACCUAAACCCCAGCACCACAGAAUGUAACUUCAUUUGGAAAUAAGGUUGUAGCUGAUGUAAUUAAAGAUGUCACACUGAAGUAGGGUGUCUAAUGUCCUUUUAAAAAGGAAACUUGGAGACAGACAGGCACACAGGGAGAAAGACAUAUGAAGAUAAAGGCAGAGAUCUGCAAGCCAAGAAAUGCCAGAGGCUGCCAGGAAACUAUGAGAAGCUACAAGGGAGGCCUGGAACAGGCCUUUCUCUUACAGCCCUCAGAAGGAACCAGCUCUGACAACACCUUGGACCUUGGACGUCUAGCCUCCAGACUGUGAGACAACAGUUUCUAUUGUUUAAGCCACCCAGACUGUGGUACUUUAUGAUGGCAGACCUGGCAACAAAUACACUGUUGUAGGAGACUAAGUCUGGCAUCAGUAAGUCGGCCGUCGGUGAAAUUUCUGGACUGCUUGUGGGCCGCUUCCUCCAGGGCACUCUGGGUGGGGUCCUGCACCCACUCCCCCAGCUUCAGCUCUGGUUUCAGGCUCUGGAGCUCCUGCAACAGCUCCUGGUCAUCAUGGGAGGACCCUGAGAAGAUUUUUAAAUAGACCAGAGCCCCGUUUCAAAGAAAUUCUGCCUUAAUUGAUCUGCUGGUGUUAAGUGAAGCGUGAAGCAGAAGGGAAAUCAGAGAGACUGAAAGCCUGCUGACGUGAGCAGCAUGGUAAAGAGCACUGGCAGCCUCAACAUAAAAGAGGCUCCCAGCUGACAACCAGGAAAGAAACGGGACUUCACCCUUCAGCCUCGAGGAAUGAGAUUCUAUCCCCAACCUGAGUGAGCCGGGAAGUGACUUCUCCCCCCAAGACUCCAGAUAAGGGCCCAGGCUAACCACCAUCUUGAUUUCACCUUGUGCAACCUGGAGCCAAGGAAUCAGUCAGACCCACAGGACUUCUGACUUGCAGAAGUGAGAGGAAGAAGACGCCAUGUAAACCUUGAACAGACAGCUGCAGAUAUGUGAUGACUUGAGAAUUUCUGAAACAUCUGUCUACCUCUAAAAGAAGCAUACAGUUUUAAAGUCUCAAGACUGGAAAGAAUGUAAUGGUCAAAUACUGUGACCAAUCAGCUUGUGUUUUAAGUCCUUUUAUCUAUAUCCCCCAAAUGUCCUUUUAUCUAUAUCCCUCAAAUGUCACCACCAGCCUAUGAAUCACACCUCUGAUGAUAAGAAACUUAGUUAUUUCUCAAGCUCUAAGUGCUACACAGUCAUCCCUUACAAAGACAAACUUUAAUCCAAAACAUUUUCUGUAUGUUAAGUGUUCUAUUCUGUAUUAUAAGAUUCUAUAUUUGUAUCCUCAGAACCUAGAAAAACAUAGGUAUGCAAGUGCUCAGUGAGGUUGGUUGAAUGGAGUUGAAAAAAUUUCCUUGGGUUGUAUACUAUAUUGCCAUCUAGUUAAUUGUGUGUGCGUUUUAUUUUCCUAACUAGACUGUAAACUCUGUGAGGGAAUGACAUCUUGUUUUAUAUAUUUUUGUAUCCUCUGCCUUCCCUAGUAUUAUUAUAUAUGUAUAAUGCCCCUAAU